AUUGAACGCUGGCGGCAUGCUUUACACAUGCAAGUCGAACGGCAGCACGGGUGCUUGCACCUGGUGGCGAGUGACGAACGGGUGAGUAAUGCAUCGGAACGUAUCCAAUAAUGGGGGAUAACGCACCGAAAGGUGUGCUAAUACCGCAUACGCCCUGAGGGGGAAAGUGGGGGACCGUAAGGCCUCACGUUAAUGGAGCGGCCGAUGCCUGAUUAGCUAGUUGGUGAGGUGAAGGCUCACCAAGGCGACGAUCAGUAGCUGGUCUGAGAGGACGACCAGCCACACUGGGACUGAGACACGGCCCAGACUCCUACGGGAGGCAGCAGUGGGGAAUUUUGGACAAUGGGCGCAAGCCUGAUCCAGCCAUGCCGCGUGAGUGAAGAAGGCCUUCGGGUUGUAAAGCUCUUUCGCAAGGAAAGAAAACUUAUCCCCUAAUACGGGAUGAGGAUGACGGUACCUUGAUAAGAAGCACCGGCUAACUACGUGCCAGCAGCCGCCGUAAAAC
rnacentral:rRNA from 1 species